rnacentral:rRNA from 1 species
AUUGAACGCUGGCGGCAGGCCUAACACAUGCAAGUCGAGCGGAUGAAGGGAGCUUGCUCCUGGAUUCAGCGGCGGACGGGUGAGUAAUGCCUAGGAAUCUGCCUGGUAGUGGGGGAUAACGUCCGGAAACGGGCGCUAAUACCGCAUACGUCCUGAGGGAGAAAGUGGGGGAUCUUCGGACCUCACGCUAUCAGAUGAGCCUAGGUCGGAUUAGCUAGUUGGUGGGGUAAAGGCCUACCAAGGCGACGAUCCGUAACUGGUCUGAGAGGAUGAGCAGUCACACUGGAACUGAGACACGGUCCAGACUCCUACGGGAGGCAGCAGUGGGGAAUAUUGGACAAUGGGCGAAAGCCUGAUCCAGCUAUGCCGCGUGUGUGAAGAAGGUCUUCGGAUUGUAAAGCACUUUAAGUUGGGAGGAAGGGCAGUAAGUUAAUACCUUGCUGUUUUGACGUUACCAACAGAAUAAGCACCGGCUAACUUCGUG